GCCUUAUUUGCAGAGAAUCUACAGCAGACCAUCUUCUCCAACCAUUCCAAGGCCUCUGCAUCACUACUUUCAACAAUUGGUAAUUGCAAUUCAAAUCCUCUUAGUAUUGUCGUUGCUAUUCUCCCCCGCAGUUCCCGCCAAGUCCCGUCGCUCAAUCUCUGAAAUAGGGUUAGGCUAGCAACUCAUGCAAAUUUCAAAGAUUUUGUCCUUACUGCUGGGUUGGAGUUCUUUCCUUUAGGUGGAGAUCCAAAAGUUCUUGCCGAAUGGCACUCUCAUGUUGCUGAGGCACUAAAAAUACCGAUUCAUAUAUUUUUCACAAUGCCAUGGACGCAAG